rnacentral:rRNA from 1 species
AUUGAACGCUGGCGGCAGGCCUAACACAUGCAAUUCGAACGAGUGGCGGACGGGUGAGUAAUGUCUGGGAAACUGCCUGAUGGAGGGGGAUAACUACUGGAAACGGUAGCUACUACUGCCUACCAUCAGAUGUGCCCCGAUGGGAUUAGCUAGUUGGUGGGGUAACGGCUCACCAAGGCGACGAUCCCUAGCUGGUCUGAGAGGAUGACCAGCCACACUGGAACUGAGAAACGGUCCAGACUCCUACGGGAGGCAGCAGUGGGGAAUAGUGCACAAUGGGCGCAAGCCUGAUGCAGCCAUGCCGCGUGUAUGAAGAAGGCCGUCGGGUUGUAAAGUACUUUCAUCGGGGAGGCGUUACCCGCAGAAGAAGCACCGGCUAACGCCGUGCCAGCAGCCGCGGUAAUUC